AAGAGCAACUCUUCUCAAAAUCUCACUCAAAAAGUGCUGAGUUGGAAUCCCAUUCUAACUAAGAAUGAGUCAUUGCCCUUCUCCGACCCUGACUGCCCAACCUGAGAGCAGACAGCUAAUGCGUUCCACUUAUUGAACAGGGUUCUAUGGUCGGUUCGUGACCCCUGGAUGCCGAAGGCGUCCUUGGGGUGAUCUCGUAGUUCCUACGGGGUGGAGAUGAUGGGGUCGGUCCAUGGAUUUUCCUUCCUUGGAAUCCCAUUCUAACUAAGAAUGAGUCAUUGCCCUUCUCCGACCCUGACUGCCCAACCUGAGAGCAGACAGCUAAUGCGUUCCACUUAUUGAACAUGGUUCUAUGGUCGGUCCGGUUCUAUCAGAUAGGAAGGGUUGUAGCACAAAAUGUACUUCUAAGUAAUUGCCCCAUAGAUCUUAUAUCUAUCUAUAUGAAGAAGAAAUAAUGUAACGGACUUCAUAAAUAACUGAAUGUAAUAAGUCUGCUAGACGAUGCAUAUUGUUACCAUAUCGUUUGCAUUAGUCACAUUUGGCCAUAAAGCUUUCCGCAUUUCCCUCUAUUUUUGGCCAAUAAUAUCCUACUCUAAUUAGAGUUUUUACCAAGGAUCUUUUUCCUGUGUAAUUUUCAUAUUGUCCCUCAUGUACUUCUCUCAUCAUAUUCUCUGUUUGUGAAGGUCCAAGACACCUUGCUAGAGGUCCACCGAACAUCGUUCGAUAUAAGUUGCCUCGAUCCAAAAAAUAACGGGCAGCUUUUCGUCAAAGUGACUGAGUCUUUUUCUUAUCCUCAGGUAGGAUCCCAUUCAGCGAAAGAUUGAUGAUCACGCUUCUCUAAUACCAUGUUAAAUUAUUGAAAUUUACCUCAUUUUAUUUUGAUCGAGUUUCGAAUGAAACAAAUGUAUUAUGGAAGCAUCUUCUUCAUUUGUCACUUUUGCAGCGGAUGCAAGAUUAGCCAGCUCAUUUGCUUCGAUAUUUUCUUCUCUGGGUAUUUGCACAAUAUUCCAAGAUUUGAAUUGUCUGAUCAAAUCUCAUGCUUUUUCCAAUUAUUGUUGCAUCCUUGCCUCUUUAGCUAUAUAAGUUCCUUGCAUUUGAUUACAUACAAGCUGUGAGUCGCUCUUGAUUACAACCUGCUCUAUUCCGAGCUCGCUUUCCAAUUCUAGUCCUACAAUUAGAGCUUCAUAUUUUGCUUCAUUGUUUUAAUGGGAUGACAUUUUAUGGCUUGCCUUACAAUUUCUUCGGAAGGUGGGAUUAGAACAAAUCCUAAGCCCACAUUUAACAUUUGAGGAUCCAUCAGUAAAUAGGGUCCAAGUACCUGGAUUAGACUCGUUGAAUACCUGCAGUUCUUUUUAUGCUUCUGUUACCAUCCCUGGGCUGAUGUCUGCCACAAAAUAUUCCAAAACCUGUGAUUUUAUCGCAGUUAUAGAUUUAUAUGUGAUAUCAUAUUCACUUAGUUCUAUAACCCACCUGGCUAAUCUACAUGAUAAUUCUUGCUUAUGCAAUAUUUUGUAAGGGGUAACCGGUCACUAUAUAGAUAAUGUGACAUUGAAAAUAAGGCCUCAACUUUCUAGAUGUCAUUAUUAAUGCUAAAGCAAAUUUUUCUAAAUGAGGAUAUUGAGUUUCAGCAGCCAAUAAGUACUUGCUAACAUAAUAAACUGGAGAUGGUUUACCUUUGUCUCUCCGAAUUAAUACUACACUUACCCCCACUUCUGAAACAACGAGAUAGAUGUGUAGCCUUUGUCCGUCCAUGGGUUUAGCUAGCAACGGUGGGUUUGACAAGUACGUUUUUAGAUCUUUUAGAGCUUGUUGGCAUUUCUCAGUCUACUUGAAUUGGAUUUUCUUUUUCAAUACUGAAAAGAACUUAAACUUUUCUUCAAAAAUUUAGAAAUAAACCUCCAAAAUGUGUAUAUCCUACUUGUCAACCUAUGUACCUCUUGUUUGCACGUGGCUAUAUCUGUAAUCUCUUCGAUGGCUUUAAUUUGCAUUGGAUUUACUUCAGUUCCUCGAUUAGAAACAAGGAAACCUAAAAGCUUACCAGAAGACACGCCAAAUGCACACCUUUCGGAUUUAACUUCAUAUUGAAUUUGCAGAGAAUCUGAAAUGUAUCUGACAAAUGCUAGGUAUGAUCCCCCACCUGUUCUAACUUGAAUAGCAUAUCAUCGAUAUAAACCUCCAUGGGUUUUCUCAGAUAUUCUUGAAACAUCUUCGUUACUAACCUCUAGAACGUGGUUUCAUCAUUCUUUUAGCCGAAAGGCAUUACUUUGUAACAAUAAGUUACCCUGUCUACAAUAAAGGAAGAUUUUUUCCUCAUCUGAAGGAUCUAUUUUUAUUUGAUUAUAUCCUUAAUUGACAUCUAUAUAACUCAACAAUUUGUGCCGUAUAGUAGCAUCAAUUAGUUUAUAUAUGUGUGAUAAAGGAAAAACAUCUUUAGGGAAAGCUUUAUUCAAGUCAGUAUAGUCUACACAAACUCGCCACUUACCAUUCUUUUUAAGUACCACUACAGUGUUAGCUAGCCAAUUAGUAUAUUUUACCUCACGAAUAGACCCGUUUUUUAAAAUUUUUUGUACCUCAUCCUGAAUCACCUAGUUUUUAAAGGAUUCUUUCUUCCUUUCUUCUAUUUGAUAGGUGGAUAUAUUGGAUCUUCAUUCAGCUUAUGGGUCAUCACCUCUGGUGGUAUACCAGUCAUAUCGAAAUGCGACCAAGCAAAGCAAUCUUUGUUAGCUUUUAAGAAUUCAAUUAACUUACCUUUCAUCUCUAGGCUUAGGUUGGUUCUGAUGUAAACCUUUCUGUCCGUCCAAUGUACAAAUAGCACCACCUCUUCGAGUUCCUCAAUUAUUGUUUUGAAAUUUUCAUUCUCUUCUAGUUUUUGAAUAGUAUCACGCCUUGAGUCUACAUCUGUUUGUCCAUCUCCAAAUGAGGUUUGUGUUGUUAAAUCCUCGACUGAAUUCCAUAAUUGCUAUUUUUCGUCUGCAAUACCAUUUUUUUAGCUUGAAUCUACCAUUGAAUUAAUGCUUCGAGAAGCAUGUUGAUCACUCUGGAUUUCUUAUUCCCCAUUGCAAAGGAUACUUAAUAACCCGAUGUAACAUAGACGGAACAACAGGCAUCUCGUAAAUCCAAUAUCUUCCAAUAAUCAUAUUGUAUGCCAUGUCCAUAUCUAUCACUUAAAAUUUCAUAUCUUUGACUACUCCGUCCGCAAAUAUGGUGAGCACUAUCUCUGCUUUUGAAAACCUCUUUAAUUUUCAAAUCCGAAUAAGGUACGUGCUUUGGGUACCAAUUUGUCAUCAACUUGAAUCUUAUUUACCACUCUUUAAAGAAUGAUAUUUACAGAUCUACCUAGAUCAAUAAAAACUCAUUUGACAUUAGUAUCAUAUACAAGUAAAUAUAUUACCGGUGCAUCAUUAUGUAGGAUCAUCACGCCAUCUGUGUCUGCAUCAUCAGAUGUUAUACUAUCCUCUUCCAAAACUUGCAUACUCUCUAUCUGCGGGUCACCGUGACUUUUGACACUUUUUUUCAGCCAUAUAUGUCACAGUGUUGACCUCCUCUCCUGUGCUUAUCACAUUAAUCGUUCUUUUUGGUGGCAGAGGCUUUGGUGGGUCUUGUUUAUUAUUCAUAUAUGCUUGCUUACUCUUCUCACUAAACAAAUCAGUUAAAUAGCCUUGUUUUAAUAAGUGCUCUACUUCACCUUGUAGCAAUAUGCAAUCUGUUGUUUUAUGAUUGUGAUCAACUGAUCACUAUGAAACUCACACCAAAAAUCUGUGUUUCUUCUGUUGGGGUUCGAUCUCAUUUCUUUUGCCCACCGUAUCUUAUCUCCAUGCUUCUUAAAAUAGCUACCAACUUAGAUGUGCUAACAUUGAAAUUGUAACCACCAAUCUUUGCUUUUGUACUGCAACUGUUUUCCCGUGCUUCUCGCUCCUUUCCAAACUAGGGUGAUGAACCCACAUCUCUUUCCCUCGAUCUGGAACCAUACUUGUGGUUCUCUUCUUUUGAACGUGAAACCCUUCCUACUGGUCCCAUGUAAGGUUUGUACCUGUUUUUACCGGACCUUUUUUCAAUUUCUAAUCACAUCGAACGUACUCUUUCAUCUCCCCAUAGUUGAGUGAUAAUAUCUUUUUCUAUUUGCAGCUUUGUGUUAUACCUUUUGUAAACAUCAUUCAAAGUUGUUUCAGGGAACUCUCAAAGACAUCCUUUGAGCCUUUUUGUGGCUUUUGAGCUUUUUUCAUUUAAGUUGCUUGCCAACACCAUGGCUACCCAAUUAUCCGGUACAUGUGGUAGCAUCAUCCUUUCACGUUGAAAUCUAUCCAAAAAUUUCCUGAGUAGCUCUGUGUCUCCUUGUUUUAUUUUGAAGAUGUCUUCCAUCCUCUAUUCAACUUUCUGAGCUUCGGAGUAUGCUUUUAUAAAAUGAAUAUGUAAGCUCAGUGAAGGAAUCAAUAGAAUUUUCUGGCAAAGCAGACCGUCAUGUUGGUGCUCCUUUUGUGAAUUUUUUGCCAAACUGUUUGACCAACACCGAUUCAAUUUCUUGUUUGGUCAAGUCGUGACCCUUCACGCUAGUUGUAAUACAGUUACAUGAUCAUGCGGGUCAAUUGUCCCGUCAUACUUCGGAAUACCGGGCAUUUUAAACUUUUUUUGAAUCGGCAAGGGAGCGGCACUUGGCUUCCAGGGCUUUUGAUAAUAUUUAUCAAUAUCCACUCUUUUAAUCAUGGGUGGCACACCAGGUAUAUGCUCUAUGGGAUCGUUCCGUUUCUUGAGCUGUUUCUACAAAGUUAGUACUAAACUUUGUAAAUAAGAAUUAUUUGGAGUACUUGACCUUCCAUCACGAGAUUCGCUGGCCUCCACUGCCUGAAUUAGCAAGUCCCGAGCGUGGAUUCUCUAUGGUGGAUGUGUUUUUUUGAGGUAGAGUUGGAGGUGCAGUUGGAAACCCACUAAUAAAAGCUUGGGGAGCAUAGUUGACAUGUUUUGCAAUAAGUUUCUUCAAUGCAUCUUCAGCAGUUUGAUCUCUGCUUAUUGAUUAUUCAUAUGCGAUGCUGAUCUGUCAAGUGUUCCUUCUCGGGAGUGUUGAGGAUAAUUUUUGGAUGAAGGGAUUGGAGUAUCAUUCUCUUGUAUAUUCUGUUAGUUCAACUGGUUUUGUUGGUCUUGUUGGUUUUGUUGGUUGUUGUCAUUAGCAGUCGACAUAAUUUUUUGACAGAAAAAUAAAUUUGGAAAGUGAAAAGAUUAUUAGAUUCCCGGUUAUGGAACUAAUUUGUUUAACCAAAAAAUGGGUAUUUCGAUCAAGAACUAUUUUUAGAAAUACUCGGGCUACUGAUAAUCAAAAAAUUCUAUGUUCUCACAAUUAUAAGAAAGAAAAUUAUAUUAUGAAAUAGCAAAGUAGUAAAUAAAAGCAAAAAGAAAGUAAUUGUAUUCCAAUAAUAAUCAAAACGUGUCGUACAAGUGUAAAUCCCUUCCCUUAUAUAGGAAUCUAUAAGUACAAUAUUUCUUCCUUUUAUGAAUGUAUCAUUAUGAAUAUUAAUGAUAUUAAUAAGGCAUUAUAAUUGGUAACCGUAACUGUCCAGGAAGAUUCCGUGUGUAUGACCAUUCAUGCUCAUUAAUUGGUUAUUGAUGAAUUUUGCUUCUUUAUUGUCUUGAUUCGUUCUGCCGGUGUCUCUUCGUAUAACAAUUCAAACUUAAGCGAAUAUACCUCUUUUAUCUCGUGGAUGAUUUGCUCGUAUCUAUUACGACUCGUGUCUCUUUUAAUGCAUUUCUUCAGCUGUCACUUUUUUAAUAAUCCAUGUGUCUUGUCUCAGCCACUCAUAUUAAUCCAUGUGCAAUAUUUAUUUACUUUUACUAAUGCACAAGCAAUGUAAAGUCUCAAAAAACAAUAGCGGAUGAGAAAAUGACUAAUAGGCGAAAGGAAGCAUCUUCUAUCAGAAACUUGUUUAGUUAAUAAAAUUUAUUUUUCUCUUUCUUUAGAUUUUACAGAAAAUGGCCCUCAGAGAAGAAAAUAGAGUGUAUAUCAUCCCUGCAGACUUGCCUUGUCUUGUUCCUUUUCCUCAAUGGGGUUAUCUUAGUGGGAACUUAGGAAGAUUAAAGAGAGAAAAGAAAGAAUUGCUUAUGUUGAAGCAAGUAAUAUAUUGAAAGUGGUCGCCCUAAUCGAGUGUUAACACUCUGUCAUGCUUACCAAUUUUAGUUGUCCUCUAAUGCUUUUAGCUAUUAGCAUGUGACUAUCACUAUCAUCAUCAUAAUGUAUUGGUUCUUUGGGCUAUAAUCUUCAUUUUGGACAUUCUAUAAUUCUUGAAUGUCUGUUGAAUAUAUUAUUGUUUAACCAUAAAUUAAAAUUUCGGUCAUAACUUAUUUUAGAAGAACUCGGGUUACUGAUAAUCAAAUAGAGAUAAGAAUAAUUGAAAAAUAAUAUCUGAAUGUAAAUUAAAUUAGUGUAUUCCAACAGUAUUUCAUGUCCUUACAAAUGAUCAGUCUUUCUCUUUUAUAGCUAUUUCUAGGUGAUACGUUUUGUUAUUGUCAUAAUAAGGUCAUUAUAGAUAAUUAAUGACAUUUAAUGCUACGUGAUAGUUGGUAAUCAUUGUAAUUCAAUACAGAUUCUCUAACGUUUUCUAUAAUUAAUGCCAAUUAAUUACUGAUAGUACGUAUCCGUACACUUUUUUGCUAUCAGGUUCAUUCUCUUAUCUUGAAUUUCGAAUAUAAAAUAGUUUGAGCAUUGAAUCUCUUGGAUCUCUACUCGUGUCUAUUGUAACUCGUGCCUCUGUAACUAUUCAUUGCUCAUGCCUGUUGAACACGUGCCUCUUUAACUAUUUUUUGCCAAUUAUCAUCUUUGACCAAUCUAUAUGUCGUGACAUGUCACUUUCCAAUCACUUCUAUGUAUGAACUCAAUUUUCCCUAAUACAUAUAGUCUUCCCACUUGCCAUUUAUUCUUCAAUAGAAUAUUUGGGAAGUGGAUCUCAUUAAAGCGGGAAUAUUUGCCGACAUUAAUUCUUCUCUGCUUCAUUUUUCGCUAUCAUUUAAUAUUCGUAACAUGUGGCAUUUUUUUGUUUUGAUCUACAGCUCUUCAAUGACUUUUAAGGCUUUCUUUACGUCUUCACCAACUACAGAGCGACAGUUCUCAUUAUGAUGCUUCCAUCAUUGCACCUGUUUCCUUCGACGGUUGCUUUUGUGUAUAAAUAUAACUUUGUUACCUUUUGUCUUUAACAAAAGGUUUAGAGUAUUCAACUCUUCUUUUCUUCUUCCUCAAAAUAUUCAAUUCUUGUUGCUUCUUCCUCAUACUACUAUGUAGUCCUCAAACCCUAAUGCUAGGAGGGUUCCAAGUACUAAUAACCUUCCUCUUGCUCCUGUUAGAAGCAAGGGGAGGAGGGGUAGAGUUUUUAGUUUAGGAUCUUCAUCUUCACGAGGUUCUUCUCUUCCUUCCACAAGUUCUACUCCGCCUUCUAGAAUCAGAAGUUCUCUUUCUCAAAGGUCUUCAUCUAGAGGUAAAGAAUCCUCUGAACCUCUUUGUGAACCUGUGGUAGAUGAUAUUGUUCCUACUGAACUGUCAUUUUAUAAUGAUAGAGAGACCAUUAGAAACCAAGUUUCUUCCAUGUAUUCAUUAGAAUGUGUUGACAUUUAUCCGACUUAAAUCACUAAAGGUUUAAUUUCUGUAGUCAUAGAGAUUUUAACUGGAGUCAUGACUUCCCCAUUAUUAUUCCCAACACAAACAAAAGAAUCACAUUUUAUUUGACUGGGUUUCUUUUGUAUAGACAUACCCUUUCACAUUGAAUUUUAAGCCUCCUAUUGAUCCUGUAUUCAUCGAAUUCUGUCACCUUUUUAUGUUUGUUUAGGAUAAAUUGGCCCUAUCGUAUGGAGGGUUGUUUUUUGUUUGAGGCAUUUUGCAAACAUGGCUGGCGUGCCUUUUACCUUUUCUCAUUUAGUUCACUUCUAUUCUCCCAAACUCUUCCGCCAAGGGAUUUUUACUUUAGUUGCGAGAAGAAAAAGAGUUCUGGUCAGGCCAAAAGAUGAUAAGGACCGUGGCUGGUAUGCCACGUUUGUUGCUAUCCCCACUGUUAGUUUAGUGGAUGAAGAGAAUGUUAUAUUCCCCGAGAAAUGGAAUUUUGCACGUGAGUUUUCUUUUGUAACUUUUCCAGGCCUUUUCCCCUCUUAAUUUUGAUGGUUGCCAUUUUAACUUUUCUUCAUUUUCUCUUUUAGAAACCAUGUGAAUAAUUGAUGAGAUUCCCAAUUUCCGUGGUUGGGUAGGAAAGUUAUUAAACGUUGCUCCGAUGGAAGGUAUAUCUUGUAAAAACCUUUCUCAUCGGUUUGGUUGGAAAGUUAAAAAUCAUCGUAAGAAGUUUUUUUUAUAAAUUUAUUUACUUCUUUCUUCAGAAAUUAUCUUGAUCCUUCUUUUUUCAGGAUUUCCCAUUCAUGGCAUAAGAUCCAAGGCUGUCGUGGCUUCUAGAAUUUCUUUGGAAAGGGCCCAAGAGAUAGUCUCGGGCUCUUCAUCGAAAAGGAAAGAUACCACUAAGCAAAAUUCUGAAGAAGAGGGAGAGAAAGAAGAGGACUCUUUGGUAAGAACUCCACGAGCUAGAAGAUGCUUUAUUUCAGAAGAUAAAGCACCUCCUCCUCACUCUGUUCCUCUUACCAAGCCUGUUGAAGUUGCUUUGGUGAUUUCUUAUGAUGAUACUCCUGCAGCUGCUCGUGAUGAUAUUGCUCAGAUUUUUGCUCGUGGCUUUGAUAAUGAAAACUUUGACCUAAUUUUGAUGAAAUGCCCCUUGCCUCACUCUCCAUGUCUGCUUCUGCGGUACCUUCUUUAUUAGUCUUGACUGCUACCAUCAUUGUUCCUUCCCAGGCUAUUUUGACUUCUUCUACAGUUCCUCCCCCGAUUGCUCAUCAUAUUGAGGUUGGUCCAUCAAGUAGAAGUGAAGCUAUGAAGCAAGUUAUCAUCGAAGUUCCUGCCAAUUGUAACCUUUUGAAGAAGUCAGGUAGGGUUGAUGUGUGGUUGAAGCCUUUGAUUGGUUUGGUUGAGAAAGACAAGCUCGAGAGUCAUAACUCUUUGACUUGGAUGAACGACAUAGUGAAAUCUUCCUUGAAGGUAUUCUUUUUCAAACUUUACAUCAUUCUUUUUCUUUUUACUUAAGGUUCUUACCCUCUUCCCCCUUCCCUUUAGAUAAAUUUAAUUGGCACAUAGAUGAUGAAGAGGGUUUCCCACAUAGAACAAUUAAUGCACGACUACCAAGUUGAAGCAGACAACUGGCGGGAACGGUAUGAAAUUCUCUAUAUAGACAUGGAAGUGUUAGCUGAGGGUAAGCGUAACUUGGAGCAACAACUGAGGGUUUUAAGCUCAGAAUUAGCAAUGAAGAAGGCACACUCAAGUCAAGCUGAUAAAGACAAGAAUCUCCUUGAAACAACUUUCUCCGAGCAGUUUUCUAAAGCCAGUGAAGAAAUUAGAGAACUGAAGGCUCUGUUGGAUAAGACAGAAGCUUAUGCCGGUGAACUUGUGCAAACGCUUUCUUAGACCCAGGAAGAUCUCUGUGAGUCCUCCACUAAGGUUUUAGAGAGUUCAUUCGCGCCUUUGCAAGCUUAUUAUGAUUCUACCCUGGAUGAAAAUGAAAAGCUUAGAGAUGAGAUUGAUCAAUGGGAGAGAGAGUACAAGAAUCUUGAAGAAAAGACUGAAAUUGAAGUGAGUUGGGAAAUUCUAAACACGCACCAUGAUACCCUGAUGGAAGUCAGCCAGGAGGGAUUUAAUUUGGAUGCUGAGCUUGCCAAAAUAAAAGAGACUAUCGAAAAAACUCAGCAAAGCCAAAAUUUUCCCUCUCCUAUGGCUAAUAUUCCCAAGCCUAUUGAAUAUGAAACAGGUGUGGUCGGCGUUCCAACUCCUUCAAGCCAUACCGAACGUUCUGCUACUGACCCUGUAUUAGAUUCUACUUCAACCCCUUAGUGAAACGUUUAUGAUGUGUUACUUCUUUUUUUUUAUUUCUUGGUGGAAUGUGGUUAUCACCCUUGGUCCCAUUUGAGGGUUUGUUGAAACAUCAAGUCCCCGGACCUUUUUCGAGGCGUUCUGUAAAAAUAACUCUUAGUUUAUGACUAAGUUUAUAUUUAGUCUAAUCUUUUUAAUAUUAAGAAGUUUUCGUAGUUAUUUUGAACUUCUGUUUUUCUCAUUCUUGCCUUUAUUUAAGGACUUACUGGAUAAUUUGAACAUUUAUUUUGCAAAAUGCUUUUUUAACUUCAUGAAUAUUUAAAUCAAUCAUGAAUUUUACAAAAGAGGGUGCUUUUUUAUUCAACACUUAACGAAAAAUACGUUUCAGCUUCAUAAUGAUGUAAAUGUAAGAUAAAAGAAAUAGGAAUACACAUAUUUCUUGAAAUAACUUUGACAAGUUUUUAUUUGAACUUUGUCAAGUUUUAAAUAACACCUUACCUGUAUUUAAAUAUUUUCUUUAACUUUUUAAUAACUGUUUUCUUUUCAAUCGAUUUCAAAAAAAGAAAAUAAAACACAAGGUUUUUUAAUAUAAUCUGUUUCAGUACAUUGCCUUUAAUCUAACAAUGAUGAGGUUUUCCUUGGCUUUGGCUCGUAUCUUACCUCUGCACUUGACUCAUUCAAUGAGUAAACUUUUCAGGCUUUAACUUUGAUUAUUUUUCAAUCUUCUUUGCCUUCAUUAUACAUAUGUCUAUGUAUAUUAUAUAGUCCCCCAAGUAUUUGAGCUUUGAAGUAUGAAGUCUCGAGAAUUUGAUUAUUCCUCCCAUGCGGUCCUUUUCCUGAAAAGGAAAAACAAAUGGGACUCGAAGGUACGAUUUAGAGCACUUGAUUAUUCCUCUUAUUUGGUCCUUUUCCUGAAAAGAAAUAAAACAAACGGGACUCGAAGGUAUGAUUAUAGAUGAAGACUGCUUAACCGGUCUCAAUUUCUAUCAGAAUAGUUGUAACCCUAGAAUGGGAAUUUAAUCUAUUCCACGUUCCUUGCAGGUCGUGAUUCAUGAUUUAGUAUGGGUUAGUUUUUUUCCAAUCAUUUAAAAUCGUUAGUAAAAUUUAACAAUUCAAACACUAAAAUUUUAAAAUGAGGAUACAUGAUUGUGGGUACUCCUUAGAAAUAGUACGUCAUUCCAUUGUGAAGGUAGUAUUUUUCCAUCCAAUGUUUCCAGUUUGUACGCUCUCUUUCCUACUAUGCCGUAAAUCUUGUAAGGUCCUUCCCAAGUUGGACUUAAUUUUCCCGCAUUAGCCACUCUUAUGGACUGAAAGACCUUCUUGAGUACGAAGUCCCUACUUUUGAAGUAUCUUACGUGAGUUUUUCGGUAAUAAUAUCAUCCAUGACUUGUUUUGUGUUGUCAUCCUUAUUAAUGCAGCUUCCCUUUUUCCUUCAAGUAGAUCAAGGUUUAGUCGCAUUUCUUCUUUUUUGGAUUCCUCAGUUGCUUAUUAUAUCUCGUGCUAUGUUCCCCUAUCUCCACUGGGAUGAAUACUUCGGCUUUAUACACCAGUGAAAUGGUUUUUCACCCGUGCUUAUUUUUGAUAUUGUGUGAUAUGUCCAUAAAACACUAGGUAGAAAUUCUGUCCAAUUACCUUUAGAUUCUUCCAAUCAUUUCUUGAAAUUGUUUAUUAUGACUUUAUUCAUCAAUUCAACUUGUCCAUUACCCAUUGGAUGAUAAGGUGUUGAGGUAAUCCUUUUAAUUUUCCAACUUUAAGAAAAAUCUGUAAUUUGCACGCUUAUAAAUUGAGGGUCAUUAUCACAUACGAUUUCCUUUGGUACACCAAAUCGACAUAUGAUAUUUCGCCAAAUGAAAUCUCUGACUUCCUUUUCU
rnacentral:lncRNA from 1 species